rnacentral:rRNA from 1 species
GUGGGGAAUAUUGGGCAAUGGGCGAAAGCCUGACCCAGCAACGCCGCGUGAGGGAAGAAGGUUUUCGGAUUGUAAACCUCUGUCCUUGGUGACGAACACAAUGACGGUAGCCAAGGAGGAAGCCCCGGCUAACUACGUGCCAGCAGCCGCGGUAAUACGUAGGGGGCGAGCGUUGUCCGGAAUUACUGGGCGUAAAGGGUGGGUAGGUGGCCUUUUAAGUUGGAUGUGAAAUACCCGGGCUUAACUUGGGGGGUGCAUCUAAUACUGGGAGGCUAGAGUGCAGGAGAGGGAAGCGGAAUUCCUAGUGUAGCGGUGAAAUGCGUAGAUAUUAGGAGGAACACCAGUGGCGAAGGCGGCUUUCUGGACUGUAACUGACACUGAGGCACGAAAGCGUGGGGAGCAAACAGGAUUAGAAACCCCGGUAGUCC